AUUGAACGCUGGCGGAAUGCUUUACACAUGCAAGUCGAACGGUAGAGGGGGCAACCCCUUGAGAGUGGCGAACGGGUGAGUAAUAUAUCGGAACGUGCCCAGUCGUGGGGAUAACGUAGCGAAAGUUACGCUAAUACCGCAUACGAUCUACGGAUGAAAGCGGGGGACUCGUAAGAGCCUCGCGCGAUUGGAGCGGCCGAUAUCAGAUUAGGUAGUUGGUGAGGUAAAGGCUCACCAAGCCAACGAUCUGUAGCUGGUCUGAGAGGACGACCAGCCACACUGGGACUGAGACACGGCCCAGACUCCUACGGGAGGCAGCAGUGGGGAAUUUUGGACAAUGGACGCAAGUCUGAUCCAGCCAUUCCGCGUGCAGGAUGAAGGCCCUCGGGUUGUAAACUGCUUUUGUACGGAACGAAAAGGUUUCUAUUAAUACUAGGAGCUCAUGACGGUACCGUAAGAAUAAGCACCGGCUAACUACGUGCCAGC
rnacentral:rRNA from 1 species